CCUACGGGAGGCAGCAGUGAGGAAUAUUGGUCAAUGGGCGGAAGCCUGAACCAGCCAAGCCGCGUGAGGGAAGAAGGUACAGCGUAUCGUAAACCUCUUUUAUCAGGGAACAAAGGCGGGGACUAGUCCCCGGAUGAGGGUACCUGAAGAAAAAGCAUCGGCUAACUCCGUGCCAGCAGCCGCGGUAAUCCGGAGGAUGCGGAGGUUAUCCGGAUUUAUUGGGUGUAAGGGGUGCGCAGGCGGCCUGUUAAGUGAGCGGUAAAAGGGCGGGGCCAAACCCCGGCGAGCCGUUGAAACUGGCGGACUGGAGUUGGAGAGAGGUAAGCGGAAUGCGCGGUGUAGCGGUGAAAUGCUUAGAUAUCGCGCAGAACCCCGAUUGCGAAGGCAGCGUACCGGCUCCACACUGACGCUGAGGCACGAAAGCGUGGGUAUCGAACAGGAUUAGAUACCCUGGUAGUC
rnacentral:rRNA from 1 species